rnacentral:rRNA from 1 species
UACGGAGGGUGCGAGCGUUGUCCGGAAUCACUGGGCGUAAAGGGCGCGUAGGCGGGCGGGCAAGUACCUUGUGAAAUCCCACGGCUCAACCGUGGAACGGCUGGGUAUACUGCCUGUCUUGAGCCAACUAGGGGCGAGCGGAACAGACGGUGGAGCGGUGAAAUGCGUAGAUAUCGUCUGGAACGCCAAAGGUGAAAACAGCUCGCUGGGGUUGUGCUGACGCUGAGACACGAAAGCCAGGGGAGCGAACGGG